GCGCCGUGUUUGGAUAUUUUUAAAUUGUACCAGCGACUGUGAUGUUCGCUUAUUUUGUAUAAAUUUAAAGAUUUUGAUAGUGUUGUAAUUUGAAUAGAUUUACGUGAUUCAUUUUACAUCGUGCUAUUACCGAAGAAGGAUAUCUGUUAUCCGAAAUAUCUAAUAUUUGUCCAUUUCAUAGUUAUUGUUUGGGGAUGUUGUACCCUUUUUGACUUGUUAUAUAUAUAUAUAUUGUUUAUUUAUGGUUGUUUUUAUUUAUUUAAUUUUAGUGUGGCCCAAUAUUUCUCUUUCUCGAGACAACCUGUUAUGUUACCUUGCUUUUAUCAUUGUUAACUUUUAAAGGAAACUCUGCUUUCAACGAAAUACAGUAGCAAUAGCCAUAUGACAGACAUUUUCUACAAAGAUGCAAGUAUAUCGUUAAUAAACAAUGCAGAAAUAUGCGGAGGUAACAUAGAACUACGAUGCACUUUGAUGGGUUUACGGAUAGGAGCUGGCAGUAAAAGUGUCUUACCGGCAUGUAAUGGUAAAUAUUUACUAUGAUAUUAUUGAGUGAGUAUUUCUGUAUUUGCCUUGUUGUUGGUCUGAGGCUUGCUGUAUAGGCACGAGGCGAAGCCGAAGGCUAAUACAGCUGGCCGAGAACCAAUAACAAGACCAAUACAGAUACACGUAAUAGUAUCUUUAUUAAUUAACAAUAGUGUUACAAUAUUUUUAUACGACCGCAAAAAUUUUAAUUUUUUGGUCGUAUAUUGCUAUCACGUUGGCGUCGUCGUCGUCGUCGUCGUCGUCCGAAUACUUUUAGUUUUCGCACUCUAACUUUAGUAAAAAGAAUAGAAAUCAAUGAAAUUUUAACACAAGGUUUAUGACCACAAAAGGAAGGUUGGGAUUGAUUUUGGGAGUUUUGUCCCAAUUUAGGAAUUAGGGCCAAAAAGGGCCCAAAUAAGCAUUUUCUUGGUUGACUAUAACUUUAGUUAAGAAUAGAAAUCAAUGAAUUUACACAAGUUAAGACCACAAAGGACGGUUGGAUAUUUGGGAGUUCGAAACAUUUAGAAUUAAGGCAAAAAAGGGCCAAAUAGCAUUAUUUGGUUUCGACAAUAACUUUAUUAUAAGUAAAUAGAAACAAUGAAAUUUAAACCAAGUUUAUGACCACAAAAGAAAGUGAUAUUUUUGGAGUUGAGGUCACACAGUUUAUAAUAGGCCAAACAGGGCUCAAAUAAGCAUAUAAGAAAUAGAAUCGUGAAAUUAAACACAGGGUUUAGACAUAAAGGAGUUGGGUUUGAUUGGAUUUUGGUCCAAAGUUUAGUAAGGGACCAAAGGCAAAAUUGACUGGUGUGAUUUCAUCAAAAAUGAAUAAUGGUCUUGAUAGCGAAUCUAACUAUGAGAUAUUCUUAAUAUUGUCCCGUUUUCAAAUUGUCUACAUUAAGUCAAGGUCAAAAUAAACUAGUUGAUUUAACAAAAAAAUAAUCUGGGUCUUAUAUCUAAUUUAAGAAUGUACUAAGAUUUUAAUUAUGCCAGUUUCAGUUGUCAAAGGGCGUCCAAAUAAACUUGAUUCAUCAAAAAUGAAUAAAUGUCUGAUAUGCCAAAUCUAACUGUAGUAAUUUUUAAUUUUGGUCAGUUUCAAAUGCUACAUUCGCCCAAAGGUCCAAUAAACUAAUUGAUUUAACAAAAAAUAAUUCUUGGCUAUUUAUAUGCUUUAUCUAAACAUUACUUUGAUUUAUAUGCCCAGUUUUCAAGUGCCAACAAUCCAUAUCAAUAUGGCAAUAGCAUUCAUUUCAUGGAGUUAUCUUCUUGUAAGAGUAUGAAAUAUAUUGAUUGCCAGACAUGACUCUAUGAUUUUAUUUUAUGCCAAAACUUUAUGUAAAUAACUUCAUGGAAAUUGCCAAAUAUAAAAUGUUCUGAUGAAGCUUUUUUCCUUAUCAUUAAAGUUAAUAAUGAUGUGACAUGCCAGACAUGACUAUUAUUCAUUUUAUUUUAUUGCCAAACUAUGUUAAUUCCAUUGAAAUUUGCCCAUAAUAAAAUGUGGAUGAAGUUUUUUUUUAUAUGUUUUAAUUACAAAUAAACAAUGGUAUAUUCACUUUUACUACAACCAAUCUUACGCAUUCAAUGAUAAAAGCACUUUAUUUUACAUUUUAAAAUUUUAUGAAUGUAUUUAAAAGAUGUAUUGUUGAAACUCCAUAGAAAUUGAAUUGAUAUCAUUUGGAAAAAGAAACGAUGUGAAAAAAAGGGGUUAAAUUUUCCUCAUUUCAGAUCUCAUAAAAAAAAAAAUUUCUUCAACAUUUUUUAGAAUAUAUUCACAACAUAUUAAUUCUCAAAGGCAAAAAAAUUUAGUUCAUUAACCACAUUCAUUCUGUGUCAGAACCUAGCUGGCAAAUUUAAUUAGAUUAAAAGUUUGAAAGAAAAUUAAUUGAUUGUAAUCUUACUUGUUUCGGUAAAACCAUGUAAAUUCAAAAUUUAUCACAAUCCAAAUUCAGAGCUGUAUCACGCUUGAAUGUUUUGUCCAUACUUGCCCCAACUGUUCAGGAUUCGACCUCUGCGGUCGUAUAAAGCUGCGCCCUGCGGAGCACCUGGUUUCUUUUCAUUUCAUAUCAAAAUUUACAAGAGAUAAACAUUUUUACCUUGAAGUGGAACUAUCCAAAUCUCAGUUUCUUUUUAUAAGAUGAAAUAUCAAAUCAUCUGGUGCUUUUUUCAUCAUAUUAAGUCCAAUAACAGUGUAGUUAACUAAUAAAGAAAUAUUAUUGUUUGAAUUGAUGAUUUUCUCUUGCUAAACGUCACGAAAGAUGCCUUUACUUUAUGAAGUCUAUUUUUUCUAGCUACAUAUGUAUAUAAAUGUCAUGUGAUCUUCUAAGGUAAACAAGCAUGUGUUCAUCUAGAGUCGACAGAUAAAGCAACUAAUACCGAACAUGGUAAUAAUAAAAACAUGCAUUGGCGUUACUAAUUAACAUUUGUAAUGGUUUCUCACUUAUGAAAUUUGUAUGAAAAAGGGGAGGUUUAAUUUGUUUACUUUUUGUUUUAUUUUCAUUUGUUUUAAUGGAAUCUAUCUUCAUUAAAACUUGGUUAUUAGAAUACAAAAGUUUCAUAUAUAUGUGUACAAUACAUGUUUUACAAGGACAGGCUUUAGUCUCAUUAUUUAACUCCAAAUAUCAUAAAUAAAUGAUACAUACAUGUAUUUUGUUACAGAAAAACAUUUCAAAAUAACAACUGUGAGAAAUAUUCCUGAAUCUGUAUUUCUUUUCUUGAGUAUUUCUGCUGCUGUCUUUGUAACUACAUGUAUUGCGGUAGCAGUAUGUUUGAAUCGUGGUAAAAGAAAAGCAUUGCUUAAACCAAAAAAUGAAGAAAACAAUCAGCUGCAGGUAAAACAAAUCAUAGUUUAUUUCCUUAUUUUCAUAUUCUGUUUUACAAAGUCAGAUAUUUUAACAAGAAAAGUGAUUCAAGAUCUAAAACCUAAUCUUGUGGCGAACUUUCGAUUUAUCAUUUACUAUACAAAUUUUUUCUAUAAAGCUUAAAGCUCACAUAAUUCAUUGCACUUUUUGUUCAAAUGAAACAAUUAUCUUGUCUUUCCUUUUACUGAGGAUUUUUCGUUAAUAAUACUGAGAAUCAGAAAACUAUUCUUUUUUUUUACAAAACAAACCAUUUUGAAAGAAUAUUGCCACACUGCCUUAAAUAGAUGACAGCAUGUCCAACGAAAGAAAAACAAUUAGGAAGACUGUUGUUAUGUGAUUGCUAAUUAAUUACUACGCCCAGAUAAAUUACUAAAUAGUUUGUUUGGGAUGUUCAUUUGUCAAACUCCUUAAAAUAUCCUGAAGAGUGGUCUACCUUGAACUACAAGUUAACCCACACCCACUUUAAUCAACUAUAUCAUUCAACCCGUCUUACUGACGGAUGGGAGAAGUCCAAGGAUGUCACUAUUUCAAUACUCAUUUCGUUAAAAAGUUUUGUUUGCAGAAAAUUGGAAAAAGGGGGGUCGUUAUUCAAAAGAAUUGUGUAUGUUGAAUAUCUUGAAAUAGCGCUGGUAUACGUUGAAAAAUCGAUCAUUUAAUCAAAUUUAUAACAUAACAUGUCUAUCGAAAUAAGAAACUGCUAACUACACACUCCAUGUUCUCUUUUGUAGAUUCCGUUAAAUCCACCACCACUUUGACUUUAAGAUCUGCUACAAGGAUUUUCUUCGAUAUCGAUUCACG
rnacentral:lncRNA from 1 species